CACCACUCAAGCCUGGCUUGGUGUUGGGCGACGUCCCUUUCGGGGACGCGCCUCGAAACGCUCGGCGGCGUGGCACCGGCUUUAAGCGUAGCAGAAUCUUUCGCUUUAAAGGUCGGGGCCCCGUCUGCCGGAAGGCCUACUCGCAA
rnacentral:misc_RNA from 1 species